rnacentral:rRNA from 1 species
AACGAACGCUGGCGGCGCGCCUAAUACAUGCAAGUCGAGCGAGAAGACGUAGCAAUACGUUUGUAAAGCGGCGAACGGGUGAGGAAUACAUGGGUAACCUACCCUCGAGUGGGGAAUAACUAGCCGAAAGGUUAGCUAAUACCGCGUACGCUCCUUGGUACGUUCGGUUUCGUAGGGAGGGAAAGGACGAUACCGUGGGUAGUCGCGCUCUUGGUAGUGGGCGUCAUGUCCUAUCAGCUUGUUGGUGAGGAACGGCUCACCAAGGCUUCGACGGGUAGCUGGUCUGAGAGGACGAUCAGCCACACUGGCACUGCGACACGGCCC